rnacentral:tRNA from 1 species
CGGGGUGGCGGAAUGGUAGACGCACGGGACUUAAAAUCCUGCGGGCGCAAGCUCGUGCGGGUUCGAAUCCCGCUCUCGGC